GCAGUGGUAGCUCAGUGGUAGAGCAGGCGAGUAAGUUAUACCAGGACAGGUCUUUGAAAUUUGAAUUUCAUCACUAACAAAUUAAACAGUUGCAGUUCGUCAGGUCAGGUGUUCAAUCCACUUUCGCUGCU